rnacentral:rRNA from 1 species
UACGAAGGGGGCUAGCGUUGCUCGGAAUCACUGGGCGUAAAGCGCACGUAGGCGGAUCUUUAAGUCAGGGGUGAAAUCCUGGAGCUCAACUCCAGAACUGCCUUUGAUACUGGGGAUCUCGAGUCCGGGAGAGGUGAGUGGAAUUCCUAGUGUAGAGGUGAAAUUCGUAGAUAUUAGGAAGGACACCGGUGGCGAAGGCGGAUCUCUGGGCCUGUCCUGACGCUGAGGCGCGAAAGCUAGGGGAGCGAACAGG